UAAUUAAUCUUUCUUAUUACAUUAAUUAAAUAAUUUGCAGACUCUCCAGCACUUCUUGAAAAUGUUACAGAAGACGUAGUAUACAAACUAUGUCUACGGUACAAGUGUCAUCAAUUUAUGUCUUGAGAAUGUAGAAAUUAAAACAACAAAGUUUUACGUAACUUUGCUUACAUUCUCACCUUCACCUGACAGUCUCAAUUUUUAACGCCAACUUCAAAAGUUUUCGAUGUUUUCCAAACAUCUUACUGCGCCCUGUGUCAAUUAAUUAAUUGCAGUAUGGUACUUGUCAUCGUUAAGAGCUCAAAUAUAGAGCGUGAUCUGUAGCGGCACCGUGACCAUUGUUGCUACUUCCGUGCAAACAAUACCCAGCCGUUGACCAAAAGUAUGCUUGUGUUACGAGUUGCCCGUAGCAGCAGGGCAGUGCAUGACCUCUUGUCUCUUACAUUUUCACAUGACCUUGUGAACUUUCGUGAACUUUGUGACUUCUCUAAAUACCGUAUUCGACUACGCCCAUGAUAUAGCGUAUAUAUUAGAGCAACUGCAUUACAACCCUUCAGUGCAGUUCUGGCAGUAACUACUGAGUUUUCAACAUUGUAUACAGCUAGUGUUGAUCACGUCACAGCUCUAGAUAUGUCUCAAUCUGAAGACUCGAGAGAUGUCGAUGAUUUGACGAGAGAAAUCGUCAGUAAUCCACACUUUCGUACUGUAGUCGAAGAAUCUGUGUCAAGACGCAUAGGAACACCACGAGAGCAAUCUUCUUCACGCCGAUCGCGAGAUGAUGAGAGACAGCAAAGAGCUGGACGGUUUGAAAGUGCACAUCAACAACUUUCACAACUUUUUCGAAGAGACAGCAGAUCAAGAAGGGUUGUUACCUCUAGAUCUACUCGACCAUCAGACCACGUGAAUCACCCGUCUCAAAGCUUCCGUGCACCGUCUCGUCAAAGAAGAAGUCGACCCUUUGCUGCCGCCAAGUCUUCAUCGUCAUGCAACAUUACAAAAGAAAUAGUUCUACUGCCAGAUCCGUUAUGGGAGACUACACUUCGGCAUUCAGAAAAUGUCAGUCUAGUAGAAGACGGGUUUGUUUUGAAUGCAUUUCCGAUGGACAAGACGUGGGCUGCAGAAAUCUCUACAAGGCUCUAGAAUGCGCUUUUCGUGACCGGCUAGAGCUAACCGAGGAAGGUAGCACUGACUCAGAAGGACCUUGCAGGUAUCUAAGUAGAUUGCCUUUCUAGUAGUAAGUAGAUUCCAGCUAGUAAUCAAUUAAUACAUAUCAGUACGUCAAUCUGACCUAAUUGUUUGAAAUAGCUUUGAGUUUGUGAUGUCGGUUGGAAACAAGUUGGUCGGUCCUCGCUUAUUGCCUUCACAAGUCAUGGAUGUAGUGACUUUGCAUCAAGUGUACAACCAAAAGGUUGUCUAUUUGAGGCCAUCUAAAAGAUUACUAAGAAACAAUCAGACAUCCGCAGCAACGUUUCACGACAUAAACAUGAGCAUUCACUUUAUUUCUGCAUGCAGCAUGUGAUUUUUGUUAAUUGAAAUUGUUCUAAUUAUAUAGGAAGUUAUAGUGGUGAAAGAAGAGCCGGGUGAAAAGCGCAGUAAAAUGUCGUCUGGUGCACUUUCUGCCUCAGCAAGAUCAGCAGCAGCAAGCUCGACAUCUCUGAUGACCAGACGUUCGCCAGACGAAAUGCGUACGGUGACAAUAACAGCAAGAUCAGCUGCAUGUACUGAUGCGCCAUUUAGCCUACAACUUCAGAGAACCGCUAAUUCAUACAGAGAGUGCAUGUCUAUCAUGACACCGAACAUUUGCGGCGAUGACGACGAUGAGGAGCUCAAAUUUAUCUGUACGAUGAUGAUGUUGAUUUGCAGGCAGCGUUAGCUGCUAGCGUUGAAGACGCCUGCAGCAGUAUACAGCUACUACAACCACUACAGCUACUGUCAUCCAGUUUACACUGAAGAACCAUCAAGAAGCAGUGUUGCCUUACAUUGAUGUUCUUGACCGUGACAGAGAGAAUAUAGACGCAAUCGAUGUGAGGAGACCACAUCUUUGGUUGGACACUGUUCAAGCAAUGACACGUCCUAAGUUUACUGGGCAGAAGUGGCUUCGUGUACACUUUCUAUUCGAAGAGGCUGUAGACGACGGUGGCCCUAGACGGGAAUUUUUUCGUCCCGCUUUGCAAGAAUGUUGCAAUUCAAACCUUUUUCUUGGCUUGCUUCAUUCUCGCACUGUCUCUCUCAGUGCUCCAGCUUUACAGCAGAAGAAGUACCUUGUAGCCGGACUAUUCAUGGCCAUGUCAUUGAUUCAAGGGGACUGGCUCCAAAGUUUCUUUCACCAUCUACAGCCUGGUAUCUGGAUAAUGGAUUGGAAGGAUUAACUCCUACUAUUGAAGAGCUACCGGAUUCCGAUAUGCGUGAAGUCUGGCAAGAGAUGCCACCAGUAUUGACGAAGCGAGGCAAAUGUUAGAAACUCGAAAAUAUGACCUACGAUUCGAGCUUGGGUAUGGACGACAGUCAUCGUCGUUUGAAGCCCAUCAUAUCAAGCAGCUAGUGACAGGGGUCUGUCUCCAACAAAUUAUUUACAGUAACAAAGCGGCCCUAGAUCAGCUAUUAGAAGGUCUUCGCUCACACCAAGUCAACGAGCUCAUAGCUGGAAAUUUUCCUUUUGCGAAAUCACUGUUUACCCAUACUCCAACCGUCCCAGUCGAUGCUACAGUUAUGCGCAGCUUGUUCAAGUUCACCCCUUCACAGACAGGCACAACUGCGAGAACAAACGACGAGGAACUCUUACUUUACUGGUAUCGCUUCCUGAGUGAUGUAGAAGAUGGCCUCGUCUCCGCAGGUGAGGACAACGCAGCAUGUGCGCUGGACCUUCCAGCUAUUCUCACGUUUGCCACAGGCUUGGAUUCAGUUUUAGCGAUGAGAUUCCACAAAGAUCUUGUACUUGCAGUCGAUCAUAGCGACGUGACUGGUACGUGCCCAAGGUCAUCUACUUGUGACUUACGACUAGUGCUUCCUGUCGCACUCUGUGGCUCUUACGAAUAUUUCAGGAACAAAAUGGCGUUUGCAAUUUUAAAUUGUCACUGAUUUGGUCAGAUCUAGUAGUCUAUAGUUCUAUAGAUGAACUCAGUGUUUAGUACACGUAUUGCGUUGCGUUCUGCUAUUAAAUGUAAUUUAAAUAUGUUAUUUAAUUAGCUGUUACACAAUGUAUAGCUGCUAUAAUUAAGUGCUGGUGGGUUUUGUUAAUUAAUAUAUCUUUAAAAUAGAUGGAUUUUGUG